AUGAAAGAUCACAUACUUGAAUUUGAUUUGGAUAGAGGGACACUCGCCAUGAUCGAGGGGCCUGGUCUUAAUGAACCCCACAAACAUCGGAUCAUCAAAGCAGAGGAUGGUCAUGUUGGUCUUUUCGUGUUAACUGAAUAUAGCAUUCAAAUGUGGCAGAUGAAGGUCAAUUAUCAAGGUGUUACCACAUGGUUGUUGCGGAAUGCUGCAAUUCAUGGGAUCUCUCCUCGGGUUAAGAUAAAAAAGACACGAUUGCUUGGGUAUGAUGAGGAUACUGAAGCAAUAGUUCUAAAUAUGCGCGGGGGAGUCUAUAUGGUUGAACUUAAGUCAAUGCAAUGCAAGAAACUUCAUGAAGUCACUAAUUAUGCAAGCUGUCGCUAUUAUCCUUUUAAGAGUUUCCGUCCUCCAGGCAUAGGCAUUGCUGCUGGAUGUGAUGGAGUUGAAGCGCGGCACGGUGCAUUGGGAUGA
rnacentral:rRNA from 1 species